UCUUAUACGGACCCGGCCCCUGUGCCGAGUUUCGCUAAGUCAAAUGCACAUGAUGCAAAUAAAGCGAACCUACUAGGGAUAUUCGGCAUGUGGUUUGUUAUUCUAGGUUUAAAUCCUAUUGGAGAAGGUAUCUAGACUGGCUUACUCAAACGGACAACUCGAACCGAGAAGGAUCAGCGUACUGGUAGCAUUACUUUUCGGCUUUGCUAGUGGUGCUCCUCGCCUAAAAUAGGUGUGACUAAAAUCCUUCACCGGGCGACAAGAACCUCAGCUAUCUCAAAGAAAGCGGGCUAUGUCAA
rnacentral:lncRNA from 1 species